rnacentral:sRNA from 1 species
UCCCCGCACAAAGGGGGUGGAGCCCGAU